rnacentral:rRNA from 1 species
GAUGAACGCUGGCGGCGUGCCUAAUACAUGCAAGUCGAGCGAACGGACGAGAAGCUUGCUUCUCUGAUGUUAGCGGCGGACGGGUGAGUAACACGUGGAUAACCUACCUAUAAGACUGGGAUAACUUCGGGAAACCGGAGCUAAUACCGGAUGAUAUUUUGAACCGCAUGGUUCAAAAGUGAAAGACGGUCUUGCUGUCACUUAUAGAUGGAUCCGCGCUGCAUUAGCUAGUUGGUAAGGUAACGGCUUACCAAGGCAACGAUGCAUAGCCGACCUGAGAGAGUGAUCGGCCACACUGGAACUGAGACACGGUCCAGACUCCUACGGGAGGCAGCAGUAGGGAAUCUUCCGCAAUGGGCGAAAGCCUGAAGGAGCAACGCCGCGUGAGUGAUGAAGGUCUUCGGAUCGUAAAACUCUGUUAUUAGGGAAGAACAUAUGUGUAAGUAACUGUGCACAGCUUGACGGUACCUAAUCAGAAAGCCACGGCUAACUACGUG